rnacentral:rRNA from 1 species
CCUACGGGUGGCAGCAGUGGGGGAUAUUGCACAAUGGGGGAAACCCUGAUGCAGCGACGCCGCGUGUGGGAAGACGGUCCUCUGGAUUGUAAACCACUGUCCCCAGGGACGAAGAUGACGGUACCGGGGGAGGAAGCGCCGGCUAACUACGUGCCAGCAGCCGCGGUAAUACGUAGGGAGCGAGCGUUGUCCGGAAUUACUGGGGAUCAAGGGAGCGUAGGCGGGGAUGCAAGUUGGGUGUCAAACCUACCGGCUCAACUGGUAGUCGCCCUCAAAACUGCAGCUCUUGAGUGAAGUAGAGGCAGGCGGAAUUCCUAGUGUAGCGGUUAAAUGCGUAGAUAUUAGGCGGAACACCAGUGGCGAAGGCGGCCUGCUGGGCUUUUACUGACGCUGAGGCUCGAAAGUGUGGGGAGCAAACAGGAUUAGAUACCCUUGUAGUC